GUGUGUGUGUGUGUGUGUGUGUGUGUGUGUGGUUUCUCAACAUGUGUUUAAUGUACUGGUCCUGGAUGCUGCCACCUUGAUAGUGUGAUGUCCAUCUCUUCUGGCUCUAAUAGGACAAAUCUGCAGACUCCUGUGAGAUUGAACCCUGGCAGGUGUACAGAAAACCUUUGGUGUUUAAUGUACUGGUCCUGGAUGCAGCCACCUUGAUAGUGUGAUGUCCAUCUCUUCUGGCUCUAAUAGGACAAAUCUGCAGACUCCUGUGAGAUUGAACCCUUGCAGGUGUACAGAAAACCUUUGGUGUUUAAUGUCCUGGUCCUGGAUGCAGCCACCUUGAUAGUGUGAUGUCCAUCUCUUCUGGCUCUAAUAGGACAAAUCUGCAGACUCCUGUGAGAUUGAACCCUGGCAGGUGUACAGAAAACCUUUGGAUGCUACAGAAUGCCCUGGGCCCAGGCAGGGGAAUCAGCCUUCAACCUGGCCCCACAACACCUUCCCUGGAAGGAACUGAGCCUGAAACUGCACCCCCUCUUCACCCUGCUCUA